UGUUGUUUAAUUCACACAAGCGCACUGGGCACAACAACUGUCGUCCCUCCCCUGUGGUAGAAAAUAUCCCAAAUGUUUAUAUUGCUGGAAGAGGUUAACGCUGAUUGCCACCAAAAGAAGCGAUAGAAAAUAC
rnacentral:ribozyme from 1 species